CCCCUCUGUGUCAAGAGCCCCUACGGGUCCCUCAUAAUGUGCGGGUCACGUCCUGAAAAGGAGGCAGAAAAAGGCCCUGGAAGCGGGAAGGGAGUGACCCAGCCGCACAGCCACGCUGGCAGCCACUGCAUCCCUCGGCGGUAGACCCGGGCGGGACGCGCACCCACCCCUCGCCGGCUUCCUCGCAGCCCAGUGGCCAAGGGCGACACCGGCGAGACGCCGCAGAGAACCGCGGCCUCCCAGACAAGGGCCAGGCAGGGGCUGCCGGCUGCCGCCACCACGCCAGGCCCCCAGUCAACUCCCAAGACCUGUCCCCAACAUGCCAGGCCUCGGCCUCCCAGCACUGCAGACCCCAAGCUCCAGCUGCCAUGGCUCCCAGUUUGAGAUCGUGUCACCGGAGCCUGCACAGAUGAACCAAGCUUGCAACAGGGGAGGAACCUAAGCGCUGGACUGAGGAGCGGGACUGAAAUAAGAAGCGCACACCGCUUGGCAAGAUCCAGGAUCCAAUCAGAUAGAGCCCUGAUGUCAUCUAAUAGCAAGAUCCAAUCAGAACACAUCUCAUUACCAUAAGCUUAUAAAACCCGACCCAGCCGCCAGCUUGGGGAGACAGGUUUGACCUUCCCUCCUGUCUCGUCGCAGUGCAGUCCACUCUCUCCAGCAAAAACCCUGCAGCUUUGGUGUUUGGCUUUCCCUGGUGCACAGGCAGACGGGUCCGGUUUGGUUUGGUGACACUCUAGGCCAUGCUCACAUACUCACCAGGCCUACCAGGACACAUUCACCAGGCCCUCCAAACCAUGUUCACAGGAACCACCAGGCUGCACACAAGGGCCCUCCACACCACACCACACUUGGCCGCACCCCCGGGGCCGCACCUUGAAGUUCUCCAGAAUCCUCAGGGACCUCAGUGCCAGCCAGGCCACACCACCCAGCACUCCACGCCACACUCACUAGACCCACCCGGAACAACAGGCCACACCUCUGAGUGCUCCAGAUAGCGCUUGCCAGACGCCUCCAGACCACACUGGCCAGGCUGCACCUCGGAGCCCUCUAGGCCACGCACUCAAGGGUACCACCAUGCCAGGCUGCACCGGGCCCUCACGUGCUGCUCAGUCAGACCACCAAGUCGCACUCUGCAGGCCCACCAGGCCGCACCUCCAAGCCCAAGCAAGCCCACAGUGAUUCGGCCUCCUUGAAGCCACAAAGCCUGGUGAUCCUGACUUCACAGGCAGCCCUCCUGCCUGCCGCAGCGGCCACAAAAAUUAUACUAUUGCCAUGGCAAUUAGAACCUACAAGGCAGACAGAGAACCCUUCCUGUCCUACUUCCCGAUGUGCUCAAGCAAGUCUUCCUCUCUCCCCUGCACCACCCACUUAGCGUUUCCUUCAACAUAUACUAUCCGCGCUAUUUUGCCAAAUUAAAAAAAAAAAAAUACUCAUCCAAUUUUUUUACCUCCAGCUUCUCUAUUUAUAUGGAUACUCUUUUUAAAAGAUAUUUAUUUUCUUGCUACCACCAACACACUCCUUGGCUACUCCUCUUGUCCCCUGAACUGGCUGUUCCCCCAGAGAGACACACAGCUCACUCCCUCAACUCGAGGUCUUUACUUACGUGUCACAUUCUCAGUGACACCCUAUUUAAUAUCCUUGCACACACAACCCUGAGCCCCCAGUACUCCUGAUUACCCUUCCUUUCCUUUUUUGUAGCAGUCAUCAUAGUUUAACAUACUACUUAGCCAUUGCUUUUUUCAUCUGUCUCCCACCCUACUAAAAUGUAAGCUCCAUGAAAAAAAGAGAUUCUU